rnacentral:rRNA from 1 species
AAUAUUGGACAAUGGGGGCAACCCUGAUCCAGCCAUGCCGCGUGUGUGAAGAAGGNCUNNGGAUUNUNAAGCACUUUAAGUUGNNNNNAAGGGCUUUAGNCUAAUACAAUGAAGUCUUGAUGUUACCAACAGAAUAAGCACCGGCUUACUCAGUGCCAGCAGCCGCGGUAAUACAGAGGGUGCAAGCGUUAAUCGGAAGUACUGGGCGUAAAUCGCGCGUAGGUGGUUCAGUAAGAUGGGGGUGUAAUACCCGGGCUUAACCUGGGAACUGCUUUCAUAACUGCUGAGCUAGAGUAAGGUAGAGGGUAGUGGAAUGUCCUGUGUAGCGGUGAAAUGCGUAGAUAUAGGAAGGAACACCAGUGGCGAAGGCGACUACCUGGACUGAUACUGACACUGAGGUGCGAAAGCGUGGGGAGCAAACA